GAAAUAAAUCUCCUCUCUCUGC
rnacentral:piRNA from 1 species